GCGUCCUUAGCUCAGUUGGUUAGAGCGCCACGUUGACAUCGUGGAGGUCGGCGGUUCGAAUCCGUCAGGACGCACCA
rnacentral:tRNA from 1 species